AAUAUUGCCAAAUCCUAUUUAGGUCAAGGUCAUUAUGGGAAACUGGGUUGUCAACUCUCCCUCCUUCCCAAAUAAACAGGUAACUCCUGGACAUGUCAGCUAUUUGCAGGGACUCUGGUACUCUAUUUUUAAUUUUUUUUUUCUUUUUGGGGGUCUCUCCUCUCCAGAUCCAAUCCCACCGGAAUCUAGUCUGGGAAUUGCUCAGAUGCAAGAGGAGAGGGGACGUCAUCUGUGGAUCUGCACCGCCGCCUCGCCUCAUAUCACUGCACCCUGCAGGUAGCACCGGCCCUCCCUGGUCCAGUGCUCUUGGGCCACCCCCAAGCCCCACUGUUCACACCUGUCCCCAACCCAUAAAUCCCCCAGUCCCUCAACCCUUGACCCUCUGUUCCCAACCCCAAAACACUCCUGGCUCUGGGGGUUGUCCCAAAGUCGUCUCUCUGGUCUCAGGCAAGAAGCCACAGUUCCAAACUCUCCACCAUGACAGCAAACAGAAGCCUCAUUAUAAAGUAGCUCCAGUAAUUGGCCAGAUAAUGACGAGUUACAGGGAGCACUGCUGGUCACCCUGAUGAGUCGGAUGACUGAACCGAGCAUGAAUGGCACUCAGAGUUUCACAGGCCCCCAUGGAUCCUGUUUUUGUUUUUGGUGACCCUGACACCAAUUUCAGACAUAUUUCUAAUUGGCCCUGGCUGGAUUCCCUGGAAGAGGACGUCCAGACCAAGUUAGGUGGGGUUUGGUUCCCCGGUGUGUGAGCUUGCAGGCUCCACUCUGGGCUAUCACACCCAGCCCCCAGUGCCAUACACUUCUUUCAAUUUAGGAUUGUUUAUAGUCAGUCAAGUUUUUCCAGAUUGACUAAGAGUUCCUCAUCUGCCUACUGCAGUCAGCUACAGGAACAGUAAAAGAGACCCAGGACUUGGGCCAGCUGGAAGACUCAGAAGAAAGUCUCUGUGGGAUGCAGACAGCUAAAGAAUGACAAUCACAUGCAAUUGUCCCAAACCCCACAUCCCCCCCCCCAAGGGACACCCUCAUCUGCCCUUUUGAGACCCCUUCUCAAAGAGCCUCAGGAGCCCUUUUAUGGGGCAUCGCCUCAAGGAAAUGAAACUGCUGAGAACAACUCUUACUUCCCCUUAUUUGGUGUGUCCAAGGGUUAAAAACACUUCCGAACUCCCCCUCCAAAUGCAAGGUCAAGCAGCUGUCCAAACCACCCAAGGAGAAGAGGGAGUCCUGGACAGCCAGACCCCCGCUAGCUUGGCCACCACGGGCUCCGGCCAGCCCGGCUAGGGAAGAGUUAAUCGGAUCGGCUUUGGCUGAUAGUUCAGGCUCCAAAGUUCAGUCCCAGUCAGAGCCACCCCUGAGGAAUUGUAAAUCUCAGGGCAGUAUUUAACAAAACAAAAGCAACCUGGAAUUACAUGCAGGUUUGGUUUUCUACAGUACAUAUUUACUUAAUCCCCAAGGUAUGCGGCUCCAUGUCAGAUCAGCUGGCUUUGCGGCCCUUUCACCCCCCUAGUUCACAACAGUUUAAGUUUCAAACUAAUUCCCUGUUUUCACUCUUCCUCUUCACAGAGCUGGCUGGAGACAGCCGGGCCGGCCUCCCUCUCCCGAUGGCCCUGGUCACCGGACACCUGGGCCUCCCAGUGUCGGUCCGGCCAGACUGCUAUAUCCAAGACCGCUCUUCCCUUUUCAAACCCAAACCAAUUACCCCCUCUCUUGUCUUCAGAGCUGCAGCCGCCCAGGUUGGGGCUGGGUAGCGGGUUGCCAAGGAAAAUACGAGGCGCCAGCUAGCAGGCGGCUCCCAGCUCUACCCAGGAGCGCGCACACCCUGCACUCACCAGGGUGGCGGCGAGGAAAAGGGGGGAAGGCGGGGGAGGGGGGCACAACACCUUCCUUUGGGAGGCAGGAAUGUGGGAGAUGGGUGGGUCUCCUAAGUUUCAGGGUGGGGGUGAAUAGCCAGCCAGCCACCGAUCCCCAAGGAGCGGAUCAACUCUGAACCUGCCAAAAAAGAUAGUCCGGUGCCCGGCAAAUUUACAAGGUGAAACCGACUAGCUCAGCACUCGCGGGUGGCGCGGGGGAGUGGGGUGGCUGGCGACUCUCAGCUCCCGGGCGCCGGAUCCCGCAGCGGCAGCAGGUGGGCUCACUCCCGCCCCUGCGGCCCCCACUCCCCGGAGUCGCAGUGCCUGGUACCUUUCUAGCGCCGCGCUCCGCGAACUCGCGGGCGAGCUGACGCCCGAUGCCUCUCCCGCCGCCGGUGAUGAGGACGUUCUCCCGCGACAGGUCCCGCAGCUUGGCGGGCAGCACCAGUCCGACGGCUGCUUUCGCCACCAGAUAGAUGAUCUGCAGAGGGAACACCACCAGCGCGCCCAGCCGUUUCCACACCAUCCUACGCGCCGCGGAGCCGGGCAGGGGGCGAAACUCCCCGGGCCGAGCAAAACAGGAAUUUAAAAAGAAAACACCCCAAACAAUAAAUAGUAAACCGAAUAAGGAGAGAGGCGUCCCACCUGGCCACUCUUGAAAUCACCUCUUCCCAAAUGCAAAGCACCGGGUGAGAA